rnacentral:rRNA from 1 species
GUGUCAGCAGCCGCGGUAAUACGUAGGAAGCGAGCGUUAUCCGGAUUUACUGGGCGUAAAGAGCGCGUAGGUGGUUCUAUAAGUUGGGCGUGAAAGCCCCCGGCUUAACUGGGGAGGGUCGCUCAAUACUGUGGGACUUGAGGGUGGAAGAGGAGAUUGGAAUUCCCGGUGUAGUGGUGAAAUGCGUAGAUAUCGGGAGGAACACCUGUGGUGAAGACGAAUCUCUAGGCCACUUCUGACACUGAGGCGCGAAAGCGUGGGGAGCGAACGGAAUUAGAUACUCCGGUAGUCCACGCCCUAAACGAUGGACACUAGGUGUGGUGGGUAUCGACCCCUGCCGUGCCGUAGUCAACACAAUAAGUGUCCCGCCUGGGGACUACGAGCGCAAGCUUAAA